AACGAACGCUGGCGGCAUGCCUAACACAUGCAAGUCGAACGAGACCUUCGGGUCUAGUGGCGCACGGGUGCGUAACGCGUGGGAACCUGCCCUUAGGUUCGGAAUAACUCCCCGAAAGGGGUGCUAAUACCGGAUAAUGUCUUCGGACCAAAGAUUUAUCGCCUUUGGAUGGGCCCGCGUUGGAUUAGCUAGUUGGUAGGGUAAAAGCCUACCAAGGCGACGAUCCAUAGCUGGUCUGAGAGGAUGAUCAGCCACACUGGGACUGAGACACGGCCCAGACUCCUACGGGAGGCAGCAGCGGGGAAUAUUGGACAAUGGGCGAAAGCCUGAUCCAGCAAUGCCGCGUGAGUGAUGAAGGCCUUAGGGUUGUAAAGCUCUUUUACCCGGGAUGAUAAUGACAGUACCGGGAGAAUAAGCUCCGGCUAACUCCGU
rnacentral:rRNA from 1 species